rnacentral:lncRNA from 1 species
GCCAAAACAAGUACAUUGAAGACCAAAAGUUCCAAAAAAGUUGUGCCUAAUACGGGUAGGGUUAUCUGCCUGGGAUAAGAACAUCCUUAUUAUUUAUAAUAAUUCAUACUUUUGCAACCAGUAUUUUUUUAUAAAAUGACUAUAAAAUAGAUAAACAUGCUAAAAUCGAAGUGGUGACUAAUUUUAGGAUAAAAACGGAUACAUAAAACAACCCAAAACAGCACAUACAAAUUCACAGUCGAGUUAACCAAAGCGAUCAACGCAC